rnacentral:lncRNA from 1 species
CAUAAAGAUUUAAGACGGAAAGCCAAAAGCCAAAAGCAGAUAAAUUUCUUUUUCUUUGUGGCUAACAAGGAGACUGCAUGCUGGUUUUUACUUUGGACCUGAAGAUUAUUGUAGAAAGUAAUCGUGUCAAAAGGUAACACUGAUCCUAAUCCUCUCACUUUAACUGGGUAUAACCACACGAAUCUACUCGGUCUCAAUCUUGUGAUGGAUAAUAUUAAGGAUAUGGUGGAAUGGUUCUUUUAUAUUUGCUCACACUCACAGUGAUGUAUUUUAUGGUGUCAAAGAUUGCAGUUAGUGGUAGUAACAAGCAUUUGAUAAAUGGGAAGCUUGCACAACCUAGUCAAGUCCAGAAUCUUUUCCACUCUGUGCAGCUUAAUAAUGUCAACAAUCCACACUUUCUCAUCAUGCAAGGUAGAAUCACCAAAGUCUUAAACAUGAAACCUCCCGAGAUACUGUGGGUGCUGGAACAAGAAUGUAUGAAAACAAGAAAGAAAGAAUGUUCAACAGUAGAGGAAGAAGAAGAAGAAGAUGAGACAUGGAGGAGCGAGAUAGUAACAAGGGUGAUGAGAAUCGUGAGCAAGAGAUUGAUCUUUUUUACUCUGCUACCUUGAUGGUCUUAAGGUUCGUGUUUCCUUUGGAAGUAGUCUUUAUCAGAUGACAGCAGAGGGCAAAGUAAGUGUUGCUUCUCUUCAAACCGGCGCCUCCUUUAUAUAUUACAUUCACCUCUGCUUUUUCAUUCUCAGAUUGAUUUGUCAAAAGUUGUCGGUAAUGUAUCUUUCGUAAAAAACUGAUCCGUGUUACAAUCAAUGAUUUUGAAUUAUUCAGGUUGAUGCAGCUCUUGAUCCAAGUCACACACACAACAUAGGAAGAAGCUCAUUUCCCUCACUCGCAGGUCAAAAUAUCUAUCUCAAGCUCGGACAGUAACAAAGCCGACCAAGUGAUCGAUCGGCUUCAUACCUCAAUCGAAUCAUAUAUAAUCGAUUAAUAUACAGUAAUUCCAAAAACUAUUCAUCUAUGUGUGGCAUGCUUAAUAUUUUUGACCAUACAUAUAGAAAAAAAAAGAGAAGUAGGAAAAAAGGUCUAAAUAGAAGUAAAAAAGAGUCUAAAAUAACACCAAUAAUCUAUGGCUAAUCCUUAGAUAAUGGUAAUAUGCUUGAACUUGGAUUGGAUUUACUAAGUGCUUCCUCGAUAUCCUCAUGAUAGUCCGGACAGUGGUUGCAUGUGCAUAUGCAGUUCUUGGCUUCCGACGAAGAUCUAUGUUCCUCAAUUAAACCUAGUUUAAAAAUUAGGUAUAGAAGAGCCAAUAGGAUUAAGUAGAAUAUACCGCCGAUCACAAAAAGAGCAACCUCCAGCAAUCCCCACGCCAUUGAAGGAAAUUAUUUAAUGGGAAAAUAAAGAAACGUAAAAUCUUCCAUUAGGCUGUGUAUUAUAUAUAUAUAUAUAUAUAUAUAUAUACUCGAGGAUUCAUUGGGUCAGAGAUUAUUUAGGAUCAGGAUACCUAUGAAUAUUCCACAAGAGUCUUGGAUUAUAUUUAUAUAUAUAAAUUCGUCAUUUAUCUUUAUAAAAUAAAGUAAAAGUUUUUUUUCUCCUAAGGAUAACACAACAAAGAUAUAUACGGUAUUUUCACAUAUGUCACAAGAUAGAUUUUGUAUCCUCUUUCGUGUUUCGAUAUAUCUUCAUAACACAAUACUAAAAAAGAUUUGCAUAUUGAUGGGAUGAACUUAAAGGAUUCUCGGAGAUCGUUAUGCGUAUCGGCUUGGAGAAUCGAAGCAAGGGUGCUCGAAUGAUAUAAGAUUUAUCGAUCAAAGACAAGUCAUACGUUGUGACUAGAUGAUGAAGAAAUAUAGCCAUCCCAAGCCUAGCAAACUCUGCUCCUGCACAUAGUCUUGCACCACCACCAAACGCCAUGAACGUUUUAGAGCCACAAAGCAAUUCCUUCCCCUCCCAUCUCCAUGGAUUAAACUCACAUGGUUGUUCAUAGAUUUGAGGGUCAUAAUGAAGAAGAGAUGGAACAACCAAUACAAUCCAUCCUGCUGGAAUUGUAUACCCUGCAACCACAACACGAUUUUGAAUUAGAUCAUUGGUAACAAACUUAUAGUUAUUUUCAUGACGCAAAAGAGAGACUCAAACUUGCCUUUGAUCUCCACAUCACUCACCACCUUUCUAAACAUAGCAGGUGACAAACUCCCUAAACAAAGAGACUCAUUGAUAACCUGCAAUUGCAACAAUCAACUAAAUGUUUUCAUCACUUAAUCGAUGUGCAACGACAACAAGUUUGGAAUUUCAUUUUUUUAACAAGUAUAUAAUAAGAAAACAAAAAGCUACCAUAUGGGUGAAUUUCAUCAUGGAUCUAUAUUCUUUCCAAGUAACUCCAGAUUCUUUAUCAGCUCUGUUUUGGAGGAUGAUCUAUAGUCAUGUUCGAGUAAGACAUUUAGGACAAUUUACUAAUAUCUAAAGUUUAACUCACAUAAUAGUAAUUAAUAAUUUAGUUUCAAAAAAAAAUUUACAUGAUUUAAGAGUAUUUAGAUAGAAUUGAUAAAUUGAGAUGAGAGUUAGAACAUUAAUACAGAAAAAAUUUGUGGAUUUUUAUUUAAAAUUUAAAUAUCAGGAAAAAAAUUUAAACAAUAAGAUGGAAUAUGUAGAAUUAAAAUUAUUAGCUCUUAUCCGUUAAGAUGGAGUUUAUCGAAGAAUUAAAAUAUUUCUUAUCAUGAAAUAAAUAGUUAAAUUGUAUUAGAUAGAAUUGAUAAAUUGAGAUGAGAGUUAGAACAUUAAUACAGAAAAAAUUUGUGGAUUUUUAUUUAAAAUUUAAAUAUCAGGAAAAAAAUUUAAAAAUAAGAUGGAAUAUGUAGAAUUAAAAUUAUUAGCUCUUAUCCGUUAAGAUGGAGUUUAUCGAAGAAUUAAAAUAUUUCUUAUCAUGAAAUAAAUAGUUAAAUUGUAUUGCAAAAUAGAAUGUGUCAGAUUGAAAUUUGGUUAAAAAAUUAGAUUAAGUAUAAAUAAAUGUAUAAUACUAUUUGUAUUUCAAAUAUUAUCAAAAAAUUAUAUUUAUUUUUUCACAUCCGCCUAUUUAGGCGGGUCUUAUCUAGUUCAAUAUACAUGGAACUGGCAGGAAUAGGUUGCCACAAGUUUGGCGAGAAUUGAGUUGGAGGCUCAUAAGAGUAAAUGGAAGCAAAUUUUGUACAAAUUUAUGGUAGUUUGUUUUAUAAAACACCAUAUUUUAUACAAAUAUUGUCCUUUUGAAUAAUAUUUAGAAUUGGAAGUUAGCUCUUAAUGAAAGCUUGUUUAUGGGAGCUUGUUUGAUAGAUGAUUCGGGAUCACAUAUGGCAAUCUUAUGUGGCUUUAGCCUUUAGGUCCCCAAAGUGGUUACAUAAUUUUUUGAAUCAAUUAUGAAUUUGCCAUUUUUUGAAUAAUCUUUGUUGAGUGUGCCAUUUUUUUGAAUAGUUUGUGGAUUUGCCAUUUUUCAAGCAACAAAAAAAUGAUUUAACAGUUAACAUUAGUAUUACUCUUUAUGUUUGGGUUUAGUCUAUUCUAUUUGUUUUUAGGGUUUAGUAUUUGGUAUAAAGUAUGUAUUUUGCACAAAAAAAGUAGUAAAUACAUAUAUUUGGUAUUUGGUAUAAAGUAUAGCAUUUUCGUAAGAUUUUCUAAAAAAAAAUGUAUUUUUUCUACAAGAAUCCCUAAUUUCUUUUUUUUUUUGGGUUUAUUUGAUCUCUCUUUCAGUGAAUUGGAAGUACACCAUCUUGGACUCGCUUAUUGCAUUAGUAUCUUUCUCUGCCGGCGGAUUGAUUCCGAUGCUCUGUGGCAUGCUUGUGAAACUUCGAAUUCUAAGGAUUGUGUUUCUGGUGAUUUCCUGUGAUUUUGUAAAAAUAACUACAAAACUAAAAAAAAAUUAUUUAUGAGUUAUAAUUUUUUUUGGUUAUUACAAAAAUCACCUUUUUAUUUAUGGGAAUUUGUGUGAAUAAUCCGAAAAAUAACUAAAAAUCUAACCAAUUAACCUAAAUCUAAUGGUCAUGAUUAUGCCACAUAUGCUAAUAUCAGUUAGUUGCUUAAUUAUUAUUACUAGAUUUACUCGUCCGCGCGUUGCGUGGGAUAUCAACUUUAAACUGGCAACAAUACAAAAUGUUAAAAAUAAUUAUAAUCAUUUGAAUUUCAAAACUAUACAUAUUCAUACUUGUUUUACAAAACAGUACACAACAUAAAAAUUAUCAAAAAUAUUUAGUAUAUACCACGUAAUAACAAAAGUAAUAUCAGAUGAAUUGGUCUCGGUAGUCAUCCAUGAACUUUUGUCAAAAAGAGAGUUUAUUCCAUAAUCAAAUCUUGUAAGUAUAUCUAUCUCGAAAUUUUAACAUAAUCAUACCCCAUAAUAAAAGUAAAUUUGCUGAGUUUGAAUAUCAAUUUUAUGAAAAUGUAUAAACGUAAUAUUCAUGCUGCUUCAAUAGAUUUGGAGAGCACAAUUUACCUAUUGAAGCAAGACAAUCAUGCAUUAAGAAAUUUUUUGAUAAAAUCAUGAAUGUCCUUAUCUUAUCUUAUCUAUCCUACAACACUUUAUUACAUGGUUCAAUGAUUUAACUCAAUGUUGAAUAUGAUAGUCUGGUUUACUAAAUCAAACUAUCCGAUAGUGCAUCAAUAUAUCCGAUGAAUUUACUUAAGUCAUGUGCAUACAUAUAUCCGAUGCUUCAAGCAUUAGUCAAUUCCUCUUCAAACAUUUUUUUCUAUCAUUUUUUCGUCAUCUUCUAUGAUGCACUUGUUUGCCUCCCAACAUCUACUCUUCUUUUAUCUUAUAUGCUCAUUUACAUAUAAUAAAACUUUGAAUUCAUUCUUAACUUAAAACUAUUUUCUCAUUUUCUUCUUCUUUUAAUUAUAUAAUUUUCAUGUUUGAGUGUAAUAUACUUUUACGGAAGAUAUAUAUUUAUGAAAAUUGUCUCAACACUUAUUUAAAUUUUUACCUAUAUUUAAAUAUUUUCACUUUUUUUUAUCUAGAAAGAAAACAAUAAUAUAAAUAUAACUAUAUUAUUUUAGUUGUUAUAUAUUUACUAUAAUUUAAUAUUAAGAUACAAUCAAUCUUUCUAUUUUUUCGUCAAUGUGAAUUUAUACUUUUACUUUCUUGAAAUAUAAUUUCCAAUUUUAAAAAUGAAUUAUUUCUUAUAUCUUAAGAAAACUUAUACAAUCAUAAGUUUACUAUAACAUUUAACCAUUUAUUUUUAAUCUAAAAAUAUACUAUUUUAAAUAGAUUUCUUCCACUUCAUUAUCAUCUCUUCAAGUUAAUGUUUCCAACAAAUAUGAAUAUCUUCUUAUUAUUAAAAAAAAACUCUUAUAGUCUUCCAUUUCAAUUCAAUUCAAUUCUUUUGUUCAUCCUAAAUUAUAUUUGAGGUCUCCUUAUUAAUCUCAAAAAAUGAUAGUUUUUAAACGUUUUUUAUUUUUUUAUUUUUAAUAAGUUAUUAUUUUUUGUAAUUGUAUAAUAAAUUUCAUUAAGAAUCAUUUUGCCCUCUUAAAUAACAUUGGUAUUUCUAUGAAAUUUGCAUUAUUAUUUUCUAAUUUCUUAAUUAUAUAUUUAGGGAUUAUGUUCAUUUUAAGUUAUAUAUUAGCAAAAUUUUAAUUUUAAGUGUUUUAUAUGUAUAUAUGUUACACUUGUGUUAUUAUUAUUCAAGUAACCUUUAUUUAAAAUUAUGCAUUAAUUGAAAAUUACUUGUAUAGUAAAUUUCAUUAAGAAUCAUUUUGCCCAUAUUAAAUAACAUUGGUAUUUCUAUGACUUUUCAUUAUUAUUUUUUAUUUUUUAAUUAUAUAUUUAGGGAUUAUGUUCAUUUUAAGUUAUAUAUUAGCAAAAAUUUAAUUUUAAGUGUUUUAUAUGUAUAUAUGUUACACUUGUGUUAUUAUUAUUCAAAUAACAAAUAACCUUUAUUUUAAAUUAUGCAUUAAUUGAAAAUUACUUCUUAGAUAAUUAGAUGUAAUUAACUAUAAAAUUAAAUAUUUUAAAAUAAUUAUUGGUGGGAUCCAUCAUAUUAAUUUGGUGAUGAUGUGGACACCCUAAGAGGAGAGAGAACUCUCAUAUUAUAUAUAUAGAUUGUAUAAUAAAUUUCAUUAAGAAUCAUUUUGCCCUCUUAAAUAACAUUGGUAUUUCUAUGAAAUUUGCAUUAUUAUUUUCUAAUUUCUUAAUUAUAUAUUUAGGGAUUAUGUUCAUUUUAAGUUAUAUAUUAGCAAAAAUUUAAUUUUAAGUGUUUUAUAUGUAUAUAUGUUACACUUGUGUUAUUAUUAUUCAAGUAACCUUUAUUUAAAAUUAUGCAUUAAUUGAAAAUUACUUGUAUAGUAAAUUUCAUUAAGAAUCAUUUUGCCCAUAUUAAAUAACAUUGGUAUUUCUAUGACUUUUCAUUAUUAUUUUUUAUUUGUUAAUUAUAUAUUUAGGGAUUAUGUUCAUUUUAAGUUAUAUAUUAGCAAAAAUUUAAUUUUAAGUGUUUUAUAUGUAUAUAUGUUACACUUGUGUUAUUAUUAUUCAAAUAACAAAUAACCUUUAUUUAAAAUUAUGCAUUAAUUGAAAAUUACUUCUUAGAUAAUUAGAUGUAAUUAACUAUAAAAUUAAAUAUUUUAAAAUAAUUAUUGGUGGGAUCCAUCAUAUUAAUUUGGUGAUGAUGUGGACACCCUAAGAGGAGAGAGAACUCUCCUAUUAUAUAUAUAAAUUUUCUUGGGUUAUUAUAAAAUAACCCUUUAUAUAUUACAUAAUAUAGUUUUUUUUUGUCACCCAAUUAUAUAGCUUUUUACAUAAUAUAAUCGGGCUGAUGAUAUGUGUUAAAAUUUAAAUUUAAUUAAGAAAAAAUAAAAUAAAAAAUGGAAAACUAACUGAAUAAUUAUCAAGUAAGUAACCAAAUAAUAAAAAGGCGAACCUGAUGCCUAAUGUUGUUGUCUACACAUCUCUUCUAAACGGGUAUAUGAUCAAAUGGAUAGAAGAUCUGAAAUGUUUGCUAUAUUCAAUGAGGCUACUGCUGACAACAUAAUGUACAGUGUUAUCAUUAGUGCUUUCCUUAAAGAAGGGCUGACGACAAAAGCAUUUGUGCUUGUAAGCUAAGUAUUUCAAACAUGCCAGGGUCUACUCGCUGUUUUUUUCUAAAAUGGGAGGCAGCUGAGAAGGUUAUGGUUCGACUAAAAUACGUUCCUGAUUCUUCGAGUGUGAAUAAAUGAUCGUUGCAUUUCCUCAAACCAAAUCAUGGAAGCCGAUGCUGCUACAUAAAGAUUUAAGACGGAAAGCCAAAAGCCAAAAGCAGAUAAAUUUCUUUUUCUUUGUGGCUAACAAGGAGACUGCAUGCUGGUUUUUACUUUGGACCUGAAGAUUAUUGUAGAAAGUAAUCGUGUCAAAAGGUAACACUGAUCCUAAUCCUCUCACUUUAACUGGGUAUAACCACACGAAUCUACUCGGUCUCAAUCUUGUGAUG